AUUGAACGCUGGCGGCAGGCCUAACACAUGCAAGUCGAACGAGUGGCGGACGGGUGAGUAAUGUCUGGGAAACUGCCCGAUGGAGGGGGAUAACUACUGGAAACAGUAGCUAAUACCGCAUACCAUCGGAUGUCCCCAGAUGGGUUUAGCUAGUAGGGGGGGUAACGGCUCACCAAGGCGACGAUCCCUAGCUGGUCUCAGAGGAUGACCAGCCACACUGGAACUGUGACACGGUCCAGACUCCUACGGGAGGCCGCAGUGGGGAUUAUUGCACAAUGGGCGCAAGCCUGAUGCAGCCAUGCCGCGUGUAUGAAGAAGGCCUUCGGGUUGUAAAGUACUUUCAGCGGGGAGGCGUUACUCGAAGAAGAAGCACCGGCUAACUCCGUGCCAGCAGCCGCGGUAAUUC
rnacentral:rRNA from 1 species